AACGAACGCUAGCGGCAUGCCUAACACAUGCAAGUCGAACGAGACCUUCGGGUCUAGUGGCGCACGGGUGCGUAACGCGUGGGAAUCUGCCCUUGGGUUCGGAAUAACAGUGAGAAAUUACUGCUAAUACCGGAUGAUGUCUUCGGCCCAAAGAUUUAUCGCCCAGGGAUGAGCCCGCGUAGGAUUAGGUAGUUGGUGGGGUAAUGGCCUACCAAGCCGACGAUCCUUAGCUGGUCUGAGAGGAUGAUCAGCCACACUGGGACUGAGAGACGGCCCAGACUCCUACGGGAGGCAGCAGUGGGGAAUAUUGGACAAUGGGCGAAAGCCUGAUCCAGCAAUGCCGCGUGAGUGAUGAAGGCCUUAGGGUUGUAAAGCUCUUUUACCAGGGAUGAUAAUGACAGUACCUGGAGAAUAAGCUCCGGCUAACUCCGUGCCAGCCGCCGCGGUAAAAC
rnacentral:rRNA from 1 species